rnacentral:rRNA from 1 species
CAGUAGCCGCGGGAACACAGAGGGUGCGAGCGUUAAUCGGAUUUACUGGGCGUAAAGCGUGCGUAGGCGGCUUUUUAAGUCGGAUGUGAAAUCCCUGAGCUUAACUUAGGAAUUGCAUUCGAUACUGGGAAGCUAGAGUAUGGGAGAGGAUGGUAGAAUUCCAGGUGUAGCGGUGAAAUGCGUAGAGAUCUGGAGGAAUACCGAUGGCGAAGGCAGCCAUCUGGCCUAAUACUGACGCUGAGGUACGAAAGCAUGGGGAGCAAACAGGAUUAGAUACCCGCGUAGUCCCUGUCUCUUAUAC